AUACGGAGGGUGCGAGCGUUAAUCGGAAUUACUGGGCGUAAAGCGCGCGUAGGCGGCUUAUUAAGUCAGAUGUGAAAUCCCCGGGCUCAACCUGGGAACUGCAUCUGAUACUGGUAAGCUAGAGUUUUGGAGAGGGAAGUAGAAUUUCAGGUGUAGCGGUGAAAUGCAUAGAGAUCAGAAGGAAUACCAGUGGCGAAGGCGACUUCCUGGCCAAAAACUGACGCUCAGGUGCGAAAGCGUGGGUAGCAAACGGGAUUAGAUACCCCAGUAGUCC
rnacentral:rRNA from 1 species